ACACAUGCAAGUCGAGGGGCAUCAGGAAGAAAGCUUGCUUUCUUUGCUGGCGACCGGCGCACGGGUGAGUAACACGUAUCCAACCUGCCCUUUACUCGGGGAUAGCCUUUCGAAAGAAAGAUUAAUACCCGAUGGCAUAAUGAUUCCGCAUGGUUUCAUUAUUAAAGGAUUCCGGUAAAGGAUGGGGAUGCGUUCCAUUAGGUUGUUGGUGAGGUAACGGCUCACCAAGCCUUCGAUGGAUAGGGGUUCUGAGAGGAAGGUCCCCCACAUUGGAACUGAGACACGGUCCAAACUCCUACGGGAGGCAGCAGUGAGGAAUAUUGGUCAAUGGGCGCUAGCCUGAACCAGCCAAGUAGCGUGAAGGAUGAAGGCUCUAUGGGUCGUAAACUUCUUUUAUAUAAGAAUAAAGUGCAGUAUGUAUACUGUUUUGUAUGUAUUAUACGAAUAAGGAUCGGCUAACUCCGUGCCAGCAGCCGCGGUAAUACGGAGGAUCCGAGCGUUAUCCGGAUUUAUUGGGUUUAAAGGGAGCGUAGGUGGACUGGUAAGUCAGUUGUGAAAGUUUGCGGCUCAACCGUAAAAUUGCAGUUGAUACUGUCAGUCUUGAGUACAGUAGAGGUGGGCGGAAUUCGUGGUGUAGCGGUGAAAUGCUUAGAUAUCACGAAGAA
rnacentral:rRNA from 1 species